rnacentral:lncRNA from 1 species
GGUGUAAUGUCCCUGAACAACUUGCAGGGAUCCAGGAGAAAAAAAAAACACCAUUCAUAAGCAAAGGAUAAACUAUGGGAGUGGAAACACCGAGAAAAAGCAACUGCCUGAAUACAGAGGUUGAGGGGACAUGACAGAGGAUAGACUUUAAAUGAACACUCCAAUGCAAAUACUAUCAACAAAGCAAUGGGUUCAAAUCAAGAAAACAUCUAAUGCCCAGUGGACUUACGCGUCGGCUAUGGGGGGUGGGGGGGAGGAAAAGAAAAUGAUCUAUGUCUUUAACGAAUAAUGCUUGGAAAUGAUCAAAUAAAAUAUAUUAAAAAAAAAAACUCAUAGUUAAAUUUUUUUUCUAUGGAAGAUGUUCAUUUCUAGGCAGUAAUACUUAGCCCUUUAUACACAGCUUCUAUUAUAUCUUUUCCUCUGUCAUUCUGACCCUGAGAUCCCCAGUUUCUGACCCUCUCAUACUUUCAUACUUUCCUCGCUCCCCCACCUCUCUCUCUCUCCCUCUCUCUCUCCCUCUCCUCUCACUCUCUCCCUCUUCUCUCUCUCUCCUUCUCUCUCUCCCUCUCCUCUCUCCUCUCUCCUUCUCCUCUCUCCUCUCUCCCUUCUCUCUCCUCUCUCUCUCCUCUCUCUUUCUCUCUUUCUCUCUCUCUCCUCUCUCUUUCUCUAUUUCUCUCUCUCUCUCUUUCUCUCUCCCCCUCUCUCUCUUUCUCUCUCUCCCUCUUCUCUCUCUCUCUCUUGCUCUCGCUCUCUUUCUCUCUCUCUCUCCCUCUCUCUCUCCCUCUCUCUCUCCCUCUCCUCUCUCCUCUCCCUCUCCUCUCUCCUCUCUCCCUUCUCUCUCCUCUCUCUCUACUCUCUCUUUCUCUCUAUUUCUCUCUCUCUCUCUCUCUCCCUCUUCUCUCUCUCUCUCUUUCUCUCUCCCCCUCUCUCUGUCUCUCUCUCUCCCCCCUCUCUCCUUUCUUCCCUCCCUCCUCCCCUCUCCUUUGCCCUCUCCCCCUUAUGCUGGGAGAAACCCAAAUAUAAAAGGAGCCAAUGCAACAUGA